rnacentral:rRNA from 1 species
GAUGAACGCUGGCGGCGUGCCUAAUACAUGCAAGUCGAGCGAACAGAUAAGGAGCUUGCUCCUUUGACGUUAGCGGCGGACGGGUGAGUAACACGUGGGUAACCUACCUAUAAGACUGGGAUAACUUCGGGAAACCGGAGCUAAUACCGGAUAAUAUUUCGAACCGCAUGGUUCGAUAGUGAAAGAUGGCUUUGCUAUCACUUAUAGAUGGACCCGCGCCGUAUUAGUUAGUUGGUAAGGUAACGGCUUACCAAGGCGACGAUACGUAGCCGACCUGAGAGGGUGAUCGGCCACACUGGCACUGAGACACGGUCCAGACUCCUACGGGAGGCAGCAGUAGGGAAUCUUCCGCAAAGGGCGAAAGCCUGACGGAGCAACGCCGCGUGAGUGAUGAAGGUCUUCGGAUCGUAAAACUCUGUUAUUAGGGAAGAACAUACGUGUAAGUAACUGUGCACGUCUUGACGGUACCUAAUCAGAAAGCCACGGCUAACUACGUG